UACGUAGGGGGCAAGCGUUGUCCGGAAUCACUGGGCGUAAAGCGCACGUAGGCGGCUUUCUAAGUCAGGGGUGAAAUCCUGGAGCUCAACUCCAGAACUGCCUUUGAUACUGGAGAGCUUGAGUCCGGGAGAGGUGAGUGGAACUCCGAGUGUAGAGGUGAAAUUCGUAGAUAUUCGGAAGAACACCAGUGGCGAAGGCGGCUCACUGGCCCGGUACUGACGCUGAGGUGCGAAAGCGUGGGGAGCAAACAGGG
rnacentral:rRNA from 1 species